rnacentral:rRNA from 1 species
UACGGGGGGAGCAAGCGUUGUUCGGAUUUACUGGGCGUAGAGGGCGCGUAGGCGGUCAGCACAAGUCAGUUGUGAAAUCUCCGGGCUUAACUCGGAAAGGUCAACUGAUACUGUGCGACUAGAGUGCGGAAGGGGCAACUGGAAUUCUCGGUGUAGCGGUGAAAUGCGUAGAUAUCGAGAGGAACACCUGCGGCGAAGGCGGGUUGCUGGGCCGACACUGACGCUGAUGCGCGAAAGCCAGGGGAGCGAACGGG